GGACAGCCAAUCAGGAACUGUAGAAGAUGCCCCACCCCCUAACUGAGUCAAUUUCAUGGGCAGCCAAUCAGGAGCCGUAGAAGCUGUCCCCCUAACCUAGCUUGAGUCAAGUACAGUUAAUCAGCAGUGGUGUGGGUGGAAUUAAAAUUAGACUGUGUUACCAAUACCAACCAUAAUGUCGUAUGGUUAGCGUGAUCCGUGUCUUACUACACCAUCGUUGUGUUUGGAAAGGCCUCAGAUUCUUGAGCCCCUUGGAUCCCUGAUGUUUAUGAUUAUGGGUUUAUGCAAGUGUUUCUCAGUCAGCCAUGACCCUGGCUGCUCUCUCUAUCAGAAGAGAAGGGUGAUCUCUUGGGACAGUCAUCUCCCCAGCCUCCCAGCCUCAUGAGGACUCUCUGAUGAAAUAUGGCCAUGAAAGUAGAAGGUAGACUGUUUCCACUGUGGGCAAGCUGAUAUGAAAGAUCAAUAAGAAAGACUAAAGAUCUUUUGAGCAUGGGUUUCCCUUAGCCUUGAGGUAAGGUAUUGGAUGGAUACAUCUUGAUUAAGGAUGAAAAUUCCUUCAGGC